UGUAGCCUGUUGGAAAGAGAUUAUUUUAUUUUAUUUUAUCAUAUUUUAUUUUUGUGCAGUGAACUUCCCAAAACUAUUUUUCUAGUUAUUUUAAGUCAAUUAAUUUCACUGAGUGUUGGAUUCCUGCACAGGUCAUGUUAUGUUGUGUGUGGGAACCAUUGAUUGUAGCGUUUGUUCGAAUGGGAUGCUUGUCUGUGUUGCGCACUAUUCUUUUUUGGGAGUGCGUGAGUUGCGUCAGCCUCAGACCGCGAGUGGACGCUGAUGAGGCAGGACGCACAUUUUCUCUCUCUUCUUCCAGCCAUAGUUGUGUUUAACGGAAGAAGUUAGCGCAACGGAUGUUUCUCUUAUCAAGUGUCCCAUGUGUUUCAGGUAUGUUCAGUUCUUUAACUCAUUGUAUAAAAUUAUAGAAUUUGGUUUAUAAUGUUAUGGACUAAAUUUGAAUAUAUUAUCAAUACUAUUUUUCUAUCCCCCCUUUUCUAUAGUGCAUUUAAUUGCUUUACAUUUGUAUAAUGCACUGAUUUCACUUUUCUAUAGUGUCAUUGUGAAUGUGUAUGAUGCUUUGGGAGAAUGUUUACAUUAAUUUUAUGCAUCAUUCAUUGUUAAUAAUACAAAUGAGACAACAAUUGACACAGUGAUGUAUAAUCAGUCACUUUAUUUUAAUUUCCUUAUUUUAUGGGUUUAAAUGUAUUACACAAUGUUAAACAUAAAUUGUUGUAACAUUAGCCUCAGACCGCGAGUGGACGCUGAUGAGGCAGGACGCACAUUUUCUCUCUCUUCUUCCAGCCAUAGUUGUGUUUAACGGAAGAAGUUAGCGCAACGGAUGUUUCUCUUAUCAAGUGUCCCAUGUGUUUCAGGUUUAACAGUGUAGUUGUCUGGUGCAGACAUAAUACCAACCUGGAGGGGAACAUGCUCAAAACAGUGGAGAUGAUUGUGGACUUCAGGAGAAACCCCUCAGCACUGAAUGAAUGAAUGGUGUAUUUAUAUUGUGUAUUUUCUAUGUACAAGUGUACACCCAAAGUGUUUUACAAUCAUAUCAAAGGGUCUCUUCUCAACCACCACCAGUGUGCAGCAUCCACUUGGAUGAUGUGGUGGCAGCCGAAAUACAAUGGUGCCAGCGCACUCACCACACACCAGCUCUAGAAAAAGAGAAAGUGAUAGAGCUAGCUCAUGCAUUCCCAUGAGUUUACAGCAUAGGCUAUUUGAAUGUUAACUUUUUCAAAUGUUAUGUAUUUACCAUUACUUUUUAAUUGCUGUCAUGUUAUGUGAAAUAAUUAAGCACUAUAUUUACCCAUGUUAAGUAUUAUAUGUAAUUUCUCUAUAUAUGGUUUCUCCUUUAAGCGUUCGCGCUCAGACACACGGUGUAUGCGAACGGAGAAGCAGAGGGAUGAGAGAGUAGGCCUUCUGAUGUCUGUGUAUACUAAUUGCCUCACGCUACUCUGUUUAAGGAAUGAAUCCAUCUGCAUAUCCAUCAUCCCAUUUGUGAUGUGGUUGUGUUUUCGUGGUGUCCGGAGGUUACCACUUGAAGUCUGCUACACUCACAUUAAGUAUUCUCAAACUAAAACCUGUUGUAUACAUCUUAAUCCUGGAAUUUAUCUUUGGUAGGGAGGUGAAUGCCAAUUUUGUUUGUGAGUAUAUCUGUUUUCUCCUGUUUAUUGAACAGUUAGGGAGUAAGAGAAGUAUAUUGUAUUUCAGUUUGGUUUUCAUUUCUAGGUAACCCCCUUUUAGGGAGUUUGAUAUUCUGUUUGUUAUUUUGGCCUUGUCCCUUCCUGAAGCCUUAUGUUAUUCCUAUGAUUUUGAGAAACAAACAUAAAACAUUUCAUUUGUCAACAAAAAUAAAAAUAAUCUACUUUUUUCA